rnacentral:rRNA from 1 species
GACGAACCGUGCGAACGUUAUUCGGAAUCACUGGGCUUAAAGCGCGUGUAGGCGGGUCGGCACGUCGGGAGCUGAAAUCCCCCGGCUCAACCGGGGAAGGGGCGCCGAUACGACCGGCCUGGAGGGACGUAGGGGGGCUGGAACUUCCGGUGGAGCGGUGAAAUGCGUUGAGAUCGGAAGGAACGCCCGUGGCGAAAGCGAGCCCCUGGACGUCUACUGACGCUGAGACGCGAAAGCCAGGGGAGCGAACAGG